rfam:Rattus norvegicus chromosome 11, whole genome shotgun sequence.
GGGGAUUUAGCUCAGUGGUAGAGCACUUGCCUAGCAAGCGCAAGGCCCUGGGUUCGGUCCCAAGCUCCG